rnacentral:rRNA from 1 species
UACGAAGGGGGCUAGCGUUGUUCGGAAUUACUGGGCGUAAAGCGCACGUAGGCGGAUAUUUAAGUCAGGGGUGAAAUCCCCAGGCUCAACCUGGGAACUGCGUCGGAUACUGGAUGGCUUGAAUUCGGGAGAGGGAUGCAGAAUUCCAGGUGUAGCGGUGAAAUGCGUAGAUAUCUGGAGGAACACCGGUGGCGAAGGCGGCAUCCUGGACCGGCAUUGACGCUGAGGCGCGAAAGCCAGGGGAGCAAACGGG